GACGUAGGGUCCAAGCGUUGUCCGGAUUUACUGGGCGUAAAGAGCGCGUAGGCGGUCUGUUAAGUGCACGAGUGAAAUCCCUGGGCUCACCUCAGGAACUGCUCUGCAUACUGGCAGACUGGAGGGUCGGAGAGGUUUGUGGAAUUCCUGGUGUAGCGGUGAAAUGCGUAGAUAUCUGGAGGAACACCGGUGGCGAAGGCGGCAUCCUGGACCGACACUGACGCUGAGGCGCGAAAGCUAGGGGAGCAAACGGG
rnacentral:rRNA from 1 species